GAGAAAAUACGUUAUGGGACCUCAGUUGGUCGAAAAAAGUCAAAAAACGGAAACGUACCGACGACAAUUUUUCGAUAUAACGACUCCAUCGGCUCACCUUCGCUGCUGGAUAUUUUUCUUUAGUCAACCAGUAGAAAACAAAACGGAGAACACAAUUGUAGAAAAAUCACACGAAACAAAAAAAGAGAAGGAGCUCAUCGGAGACGAUUUCAGGUUUUACCCGCGACGGUGCCGCCGGUCUUUACAUGCAGUUUUCAGCUCAUUUGUCAUUCUUUUUGCUCUGAUUUGAUCAUGGAGGUGCUCGAAAUCAAAUUUCGAGCGAAUAGAAGAAUUUUUACCUUUUUGGCAGUCAGAGGUGGCUCUGGUGCAGCGGUGGGCAGCGAUCAGCUCCAUUCUCCCGCGACUGGUUCUUCUUCUUCGGCAAGAGGCUGAAGGCUAGGGUUUGAGUUUGGUGUGAUGCGAGAUAUUUAUACUCGUCUCACUUAAAUUUGGACCGUUCUUCGCAUUUGAUUUAGACCGUCCGACCACGUUUAAAGAAAAAAUAAAUAUGGACUGUUCAUUACGAUUUG
rnacentral:lncRNA from 1 species